GACGGAGGGUGCUAGCGUUGUUCGGAAUUACUGGGCGUAAAGGGCGCGUAGGCGGCUACGGCAGUCGGAUGUGAAAGCCCGGGGCUCAACCCCGGAACGGCACCCGAUACUCUGUGGCUCGAGACCGGGAGAGGUGGGUGGAAUACCCAGUGUAGAGGUGAAAUUCGUAGAUAUUGGGUGGAACACCAGUGGCGAAAGCGGCUCACUGGCCCGGUUCUGACGCUGUGGCGCGAAAGCGUGGGGAGCAAACAGG
rnacentral:rRNA from 1 species